rnacentral:rRNA from 1 species
GUCCUAGCCGUAAACGUUGGGUGCUAGGUGUGGGGGGACAUCGACCCCCUCCGUGCCGAAGCUAACGCAUUAAGCACCCCGCCUGGGGAGUACGGCCGCAAGGCUAAAACUCAAAGGAAUUGACGGGGGCCCGCACAAGCGGCGGAGCAUGCGGCUUAAUUCGAUGCAACGCGAAGAACCUUACCUGGGUUUGACAUGCAGGGUGAAAUCGGUGAAAGCCGACGCUCUUCGGAGCCUGCACAGGUGGUGCAUGGCUGUCGU